UUUUUAACUAAUGAUUUCGUCGAUUUUAUUCGGUUCAAGCUCGUUUUCGCGUAUAUAUAAAACUAUAAAAAUAACAAAGCAAUCGUGUCGUUAAUCUUUACCAAGUCAUUACGCCGAAAAGUCGAGCCGCUUAACUGAACUGACCGAGUCAACUCAGUUGACUCGGUUUGACUGUGUUGACCGAGUUGACUCGGGUUUGACCGAGUCAACUGAACCUGCUGACUAACGUUGACCUGAAACGAAACAUAAUCUGAAUCGCAAAUCUGAACUAAACCGAGUUCAUCUCUUGAACUGAAACGAGACUUGAAUUGAUACCCACUCCAACGCUUGAUGUUGAACCCGAAAUUCUGACCCGAGACUCCCGAGCAUGAACCAAACGCUCGAACUUGUGUCUGAUCUGGACUCGAACUUGACCGAGAACCCGAACCGAAGGUUGACCAGCCGUUGACUUCUGAAAAACCGACGAAUUACCCGGAAGGUAAAGAAAAAAAAUAAUAAUAAUACAAAACAUAAAUCGGCUCACCGGAGCUUCUGUCGGGUGGAAACGGCUGCCGCGAAACCCACCGGAUAUCCUGCUGACCACCGGAUAAACGAACCGACCGGCGGUCCGAGCCUUUGACCGCCGGUUCUCCCUCUCUCUCUCUCUCUGGUUAUCUCCGGUAAACCCAUCGUCCCGCCGCCUCCUCCAUUGCCGCCGCCUAGAGAUGCGAAAAUCUACUCAUGCUCAACACUUACCACCACCCGAUGGUGGUGGUCGUUACUUGAUCUGUCGAGGGGGGGGGGUAUAUAACAGAAAGGGGGUGUGGGUGUUAUAGAGGAUAGAAAUAGAACCCGGUAGAUGGCGUCACUCCGGUUGCCAGAGCCGAAGCCGGAGAAGAGAGAUGAGAGUAGAGCAGGUUCUUGUUUGCUUGAGUAUUUGAGGACAUGAGGUCCCUGUGUUUAUUUGCUCAGUGAGUGUGACCGAGAGAGGAUGAGAGUGAAAAUGAGAGGCUGUUUAGAAUUUGUAUGUGU
rnacentral:lncRNA from 1 species